rnacentral:rRNA from 1 species
UACGUAGGGGGCUAGCGUUGUCCGGAAUCAUUGGGCGUAAAGAGCGCGUAGGCGGCCAGAUAAGUCCGGUGUGAAAGUCACAGGCUCAACCUGUGAAUGCCGCUGGAAACUGUCUGGCUAGAGUCCGGAAGGGGCGAGUGGAAUUCCUGGUGUAGCGGUGAAAUGCGCAGAUAUCAGGAGGAACACCAAUGGCGAAGGCAGCUCGCUGGAACGGUACUGACGCUGUGGCGCGAAAGCCAGGGGAGCGAACGGG